GACGAACGCUGGCGGCGUGCUUAACACAUGCAAGUCGAACGGAAAGGCCCUGCUUUUGUGGGGUGCUCGAGUGGCGAACGGGUGAGUAACACGUGAGUAACCUGCCCUUGACUUUGGGAUAACUUCAGGAAACUGGGGCUAAUACCGGAUAGGAGCUCCUGCUGCAUGGUGGGGGGGGGAAAGUUUCGGCGGUUGGGGAUGGACUCGCGGCUUAUCAGCUUGUUGGUGGGGUAGUGGCUUACCAAGGCUUUGACGGGUAGCCGGCCUGAGAGGGUGACCGGCCACAUUGGGACUGAGAUACGGCCCGGACUCCUCCGGGAGGCAGCAGUGGGGAAUAUUGCACAAUGGGCGGAAGCCUGAUGCAGCAACGCCGCGUGCGGGAUGACGGCCUUCGGGUUGUAAACCGCUUUCGCCUGUGACGAAGCGUGAGUGACGGUAAUGGGUAAAGAAGCACCGGCUAACUACGUG
rnacentral:rRNA from 1 species